AACAAUGUCUUUUAUAUAGACACCCAGAGUCACGAAACGUUCUGGUCUUUGUACCGGUGGAUGUCUAUACUAUUUAUGUUUUAUUUAUUUAGAAUAUUAAAUUGUGUACGGUCAUAGCAGAAUACCACUGUUAUGAUUGUCGUGCUCGCGGUUGAUCUUAGAUCAAUGUUUGUUGAACCUUACCAAUAUGGGGUACACAGACGGUAAAGUUUAUCAAUGCUGGGGGUACUAAUUUUAUUGUGCCUUUUAUUCGGUAUCCUUUACUAACAUCU
rnacentral:snoRNA from 24 species